UACGUAGGGUCCGAGCGUUGUCCGGAAUUAUUGGGCGUAAGGACGUCGCUGAGAGCGGUCUGUCGCGUCGAAUGUGAAACCCGGGGCUCAACUCCGGGCUUGCAUUCGAUACGGGCAGGCUAGAGUUCGGUAGGGGAGUCUGGAAUUCCUGGUGUAGCGGUGAAAUGCGCAGAUAUCAGGAGGAACACCGGUGGCGAAGGCGGGACUCUGGGCCGAUACUGACGCUGAGGAGCGAAAGCGUGGGGGAGCGAACAGG
rnacentral:rRNA from 1 species